AGCAGAAGGAGAAGAAGAAGAAGCCGAUUCUGCAGUGGUGCAGAAACGCGUUUCGCGUGGCGCAGGCGUCGCGACGCACGCAGAGGCCUCGAAGAGAUGAGAGCUCUGAGGAGCGGCGUGUAGG
rnacentral:lncRNA from 1 species